CGUUCUACAAUUAUUAUUUAUAAAUACACUAGUACAAAUGAAACGAACAUGGCUGAUUUUGAAUUCGAGCGAAAUGAAUCCAAACUUGCGUGCGAGCUUGCUUGCAAAGCAUUAAGAUCAAGAUGGAUUCCGGCGGAUUCUCUCUGCUCGUGAUCGUCUGGAGAGAAAUCGCGGACUUCGUGACCUAGCCUCUCCCAUGGAAACUGCAACUCAUGCAGCUUCCCUUGUUCGAUGCAAGGUCAAGAUCAGGGGUAGGGCCUUAAGUGGUUAUGUCAUGAGCUGAGCGAGAAGGCAGAUAUAAUUGGGCGGUAGAGCAAGUAGUCACAUCACUAGCCGGUCCCGGGAUAAAGGGUAGGAAGUAACGAGCGACAGAUUUGCACUCGGCUUGCCGAUUACAAAUCCCCGUAACCGAACGUACAAACACUCACCUUAGGUCUGAGGGCACACGGAAGGACUCGGUCAUUUCAACCGUGACCGUGAAAGUGACCGGAUAGGAGUUCUUGGUGUUGCUUCGCGUCUUUCAGUUUUCAAGUCCAAGAUAGGAACAAGUAGUGCCAGUGUGCGAACGUGUGCCGUGUGCGUUAAGAAGGAGAACCCCAGUCGUUCGGCGGCCCUCUUACUCCCCGAUAGAACUGGUGCGUCGGCACCCGCCCUGCUGGUGUUCCAGCAUCCCCGUCCGUGCCCGCAGGAUCCACUUUCCGUCGUUCCGGUUGAAAACCCCCCCGGUAGGACGCCGUCCGGAAGAGGGCUGCGCACGUUACCAUCGCGCCCUGAACACGCCCAUCCACCACGCGCGUGACCAACUUACACCCCUUUGCGCGUCGGCCAGCUGACCCCGCCGAGAGCGCCGAGAGCAGAACGCCCACCUGGCGUCGACCGUCAUCGGAGAGCGCGUGAACUAAGUUCACCGCGCCACGCGGAUAGAUAUCGAGUUGCCGCCGGAAGCCGGCAAGCACGACGCUGAGGCGUCUCGAGAGAAGCAGCACAACCGUGUCGAGAGAAGAGCAGCACUGAGCGUCAGGAGCAUCGUCGAGCGUCGCAGAGCAUCCGAUCGUCGCACCACGUGCGGCCCCGUUCCUGUGAGAGAGGUUAGGUUGCAAACCGCCUAACCAAGUAGUGAGUACAACUCCC